rnacentral:rRNA from 18 species
AAAUAAAUUAAAACUUUCAACAACGGAUCUCUUGGUUCUGGCAUCGAUGAAGAACGCAGCGAAAUGCGAUAAGUAAUGUGAAUUGCAGAAUUCAGUGAAUCAUCGAAUCUUUGAACGCACAUUGCGCCCUCUGGUAUUCCAGAGGGCAUGCCUGUUCGA